rnacentral:rRNA from 1 species
UGGGGAAUAUUGCACAAUGGGGAAAGCCCUGAUGCAGCGACGCCGCGUGAGUGAGGAAGUAUUUCGGUAUGUAAAGCUCUAUCAGCAGGGAAGAAAGUGACGGUACCUGACUAAGAAGCCCCGGCUAACUACGUGCCAGCAGCCGCGGUAAUACGUAGGGGGCAAGCGUUAUCCGGAUUUACUGGGUGUAAAGGGAGCGUAGACGGAGGAGCAAGUCUGAAGUGAAAGCCCGUGGCUCAACUGCGGGAUUGCUUUGGAAACUGUUCAUCUAGAGUGUCGGAGAGGUAAGUGGAAUUCCUAGUGUAGCGGUGAAAUGCGUAGAUAUUAGGAGGAACACCAGUGGCGAAGGCGGCUUACUGGACGAUGACUGACGUUGAGGCUCGAAAGCGUGGGGAGCAAACAGGAUUAGAUACCC